rnacentral:misc_RNA from 1 species
GUAGGUGAACCUGCGGAAGGAUCAUUACAGAGUUCAUGCCCCUCGGGGUAGACCUCCCACCCUUUGUAUACCGUGCCUUUGUUGCUUUGGCGGGCCGCCUUUUGGCCACCGGCCGCGGUCGGUGCGCGCCCGCCAGAGACCCCCCAACCCUGUCUUACAGUGUCGUCCGAGUACUAUAUAAUAGUUAAAACUUUCAACAACGGAUCUCUUGGUUCUG